rnacentral:rRNA from 1 species
GGCGGCGUGGAUUAGGCAUGCAAGUUGAGCGACGGAUAGCCUUCGGGCUAUUACGGAGCAGCGAACGGGUGAGUAACACGUGAACAAUCUGUCCCUACAUUCCGGAUAAUUGGCCGAAAGGCCUUGUAAUACGGGCGAGGAUCCUGCUUUGGCAUCUUAGCGGGAAGGAAGGCGCAAGCCGUGCAGGGAGGAGUUCGCGGCCUAUCAGUUAGUUGGUGGGGUAACGGCCUACCAAGACGACGACGGGUAGCUGGUCUGAGAGGAUGGUCAGCCACAUUGGAACUGAGACACUGUCCAGACUCCUACGGGAGGCUGCAGUCGAGAAUCUUGGGCAAUGCACGAAAGUGUGACCCAGCGACGCCGCGUGGAGGAUGAAGGCCCUUGGGUUGUAAACUCCUUUUAUGUGGGAAGAAUGCCAGCAAUGGUUUGACGGUACCACAUGAAUAAGCCACGGCUAACUACGUGCCAGCAGCCGCGGUAAUACGUAGGUGGCAAGCGUUGUCCGGAUUUACUGGGCGUAAAGGGUAUGUA